rnacentral:rRNA from 1 species
CCUACGGGAGGCAGCAGUGAGGAAUAUUGGUCAAUGGGCGCGAGCCUGAACCAGCGAAGUAGCGUGAAGGAUGACUGCCCUACGGGCUGUAAACUUCUUUUAUAAAGGAAUAAUGUGAGGCACGUGUGCCUUUUUGUAUGCAUUUUAUGAAUAAGGAUCGGCUAACUCCGUGCCAGCAGCCGCGGUAAUAUGGAGGAUCCGAGCGUUAUCCGGAUUUUUUGGGUUUAAAGGGAGCGUAGAUGGGUUGUUAAGUCAGUUGUGAAAGUUUGCGGCUCAACCGCAAAAUUGCAUUUGAUACUGGCAGUCUUGAGUGCAGUUGGGGUAGGCGGAAUUCGUGGUGUAGCGGUGAAAUGCUUAGAUAUCACGAAGAACUCCGAUUGCGAAGGCAGCUUACUAAACUGCCACUGACAUUGAUGCUCGAAAGUGUGGGUAUCAAACAGGAUUAGAUACCCGAGUAGUC